GAACGAACGCUGGCGGCAGGCCUAACACAUGCAAGUCGAACGCUCUUUUCGGAGAGAGUGGCGCACGGGUGAGUAACGCGUGGGAAUCUGCCCUUUGGUUCGGAAUAACCCUGGGAAACUAGGGCUAACACCGGAUGAGCCCCGAGUUCCGCGAGGGAGUUGGGGGAAAGUUUACGCCGAAGGAGGAGCCCGCGUCCGAUUAGCUAGUUGGUGAGGUAAGAGCUCACCAAGGCUUCGAUCGGUAGCUGGUCGAGAGGACGAUCAGCCACACUGGGACUGAGACACGGCCCAGACUCCUACGGGAGGCAGCAGUGGGGAAUCUUGCGCAAUGGGCGAAAGCCUGACGCAGCGACGCCGCGUGAGGGA
rnacentral:rRNA from 1 species